CAUUAUUUUUAUCAAUAUUGAAAUGAAGCCUUGGCGUAAAUUCAAACCGGAAGACUCUUCAGCCUCACCUGCAAUCAUCGCGUCAUCUGCAGUCAGCCUAUCAAAAUUGGACUAUGCCAUCACCGAUAAAGCUCCGGCUUAUAAGGACAGGAUUAAUGGCAUCAUCCGCUCUCCAGCAGUACUCAAACCCAUCUCCGCCCCUUCUCCACCUCCAUGCUCUUGGCUCUCCAGGGGGAAGACAUCCCUAAUCAGCAUCAGAAAAGCUCAUCCAAGCUUAUUGCAUUUCACAACACAAUGUCUUCCGCCUGGGUCCGAGUGCCGAAGAAUUUCAAAUCAUUCAUGUCAAUAAACCCUUUUAUUUGUUGUUUUAUCUCCGUCUUAGUUUCUCCAUAUUGAAUUUACAAUGUAUGAUAAAGCUGCUGUCUAUACUUACAGUUAAACUGAUGCAUUAAGUUCAGCAAGGGCUUUUCUUUUUUUCUGAAGUUAACUUGAACUGCACUUGAUGGGUUUUCCCUAAUCCUCUGUCUUCCCAUUGAUGCAACACAAUUAGAUCUUGAUACAAACGCAGCCGAAAGAUAGGAUUUCAAAUGUCUCUCCAGGCAUCUUUUGAGUAACUUUACUCAAAAGAAAUUCAAGUAAAAGUAAAAGUACAUAUUUUGUGAGCAAGGUACACAAUAGACAAAUUGUAAUGGUACAGCAAUACGAGUAAAUGCAACUAAUUACUUUCUACCCUUUUUACCAGAACCAAAAUAUUUUUUUUUUCCGCAUUGUGAAGUCCUUAUACUUUAUGCGUUAUCCGUAGCUUAUAUUACAGUAAAAUGUUUAUAUUUUUAUUUGCUUUGGUUUGCGAAAUUAGCCACUGAUGUCAUAGUACCGUCAAGAAUUGUAAGCUACUUUCUUCUUUCUUCCUGUAUGUCACCUACCACAUAAGCGGUAUGAAUCUUACUAACUUUAGAUUUUCUUUAAGGAAAAAAACAUUGACUGUGUUUCUCUUUCAUUGUAAAGUUAAAUAUUCAAGUUAUUGCUGCCUUGGUGUAAGUUAACUUUAGCUAAAGUUAUUAAACUCCAUAACUGUAAGAUACCCAUACCCUUAAUCUUAAAUAUGCAAAUAGAUUCUUCCAUUAGCGCUGACUAAAGCGGAUGACUGACUCAGAACUGUGGCCAGAACUGCAGGGCCUGCUGCUGCUUCAUGAAAAAAAA